rnacentral:rRNA from 1 species
CCUACGGUGGGCUGCAGUGAGGAAUAUUGGUCAAUGGCCGAGAGGCUGAACCAGCCAAGUCGCGUGAGGGAAGACGGCCCUACGGGUUGUAAACCUCUUUUGUCGGGGAGCAAAGCGAGUCACGUGUGACUCAUUGAGAGUACCCGAAGAAAAAGCAUCGGUAAACUCCGUGCCAGCAGCCGGGGUAAUACGGAGGAUGCGAGCGUUAUCCGGUUUUAUUGGGUUGAAAGGGUGCGCUGGCGGAGGUGCAAGUCAGCGGUAAAAUUGCGGGGCUCAACCCCGUACUGCCGUUGAAACUGCAGCCCUUGAGUCCGCGAGAAGUAUGCGGAAUGCGUGGUGUAGCGGUGAAAUGCAUAGAUAUCACGCAGAACUCCGAUUGCGAAGGCAGCAUACCGGCGCGCAACUGACGCUCAUGCACGAAAGCGUGGGUAUCGAACAGGAUUAGAUACCCCUGUAGUC